rnacentral:rRNA from 1 species
UCGACACACUAUCAUUAACUGAAUCCAUAGGUUAAUGAGGCGAACCGGGGGAACUGAAACAUCUAAGUACCCCGAGGAAAAGAAAUCAACCGAGAUUCCCCCAGUAGCGGCGAGCGAACGGGGAGCAGCCCAGAGCCUGAAUCAGUAUGUGUGUUAGUGGAAGCGUCUGGAAAGGCGCGCGAUACAGGGUGACAGCCCCGUACACAAAAAUGCACAUGCUGUGAGCUCGAUGAGUAGGGCGGGACACGUGGUAUCCUGUCUGAAUAUGGGGGGACCAUCCUCCAAGGCUAAAUACUCCUGACUGACCGAUAGUGAACCAGUACCGUGAGGGAAAGGCGAAAAGAACCCCGGCGAGGGGAGUGAAAAAGAACCUGAAACCGUGUACGUACAAGCAGUGGGAGCACGCUUAGGCGUGUGACUGCGUACCUUUUGUAUAAUGGGUCAGCGACUUAUAUUCUGUAGCAAGGUUAACCGAAUAGGGGAGCCGAAGGGAAACCGAGUCUUAACUGGGCGUUAAGUUGCAGGGUAUAGACCCGAAACCCGGUGAUCUAGCCAUGGGCAGGUUGAAGGUUGGGUAACACUAACUGGAGGACCGAACCGACUAAUGUUGAAAAAUUAGCGGAUGACUUGUGGCUGGGGGUGAAAGGCCAAUCAAACCGGGAGAUAGCUGGUUCUCCCCGAAAGCUAUUUAGGUAGCGCCUCGUGAAUUCAUCUCCGGGGGUAGAGCACUGUUUCGGCAAGGGGGUCAUCCCGACUUACCAACCCGAUGCAAACUGCGAAUACCGGAGAAUGUUAUCACGGGAGACACACGGCGGGUGCUAACGUCCGUCGUGAAGAGGGAAACAACCCAGACCGCCAGCUAAGGUCCCAAAGUCAUGGUUAAGUGGGAAACGAUGUGGGAAGGCCCAGACAGCCAGGAUGUUGGCUUAGAAGCAGCCAUCAUUUAAAGAAAGCGUAAUAGCUCACUGGUCGAGUCGGCCUGCGCGGAAGAUGUAACGGGGCUAAACCAUGCAC